AAUUUUUAUACAAAUUUUUGUAUAAAAAUUAAAAUAAAAUAUUAAUUAAAAAUUAGGUUAGAUUCCUAUAAAUCUUA
rnacentral:tRNA from 1 species